GACGAACGCUGGCGGCGUGCUUAACACAUGCAAGUCGAACGGAAAGGCCCUGCUUUUGUGGGGUGCUCGAGUGGCGAACGGGUGAGUAACACGUGAGUAACCUGCCCUUGACUUUGGGAUAACUUCAGGAAACUGGGGCUAAUACCGGAUAGGAGCUCCUGCUGCAUGGUGUGGGUUGGAAAGUUUCGGCGGUUGGGGAUGGACUCGCGGCUUAUCAGCUUGUUGGUGGGGUAGUGGCUUACCAAGGCUUUGACGGGUAGCCGGCCUGAGAGGGUGACCGGCCACAUUGGGACUGAGAUACGGCCCAGACUCCUACGGGAGGCAGCAGUGGGGAAUAUUGCACAAUGGGCGGAAGCCUGAUGCAGCAACGCCGCGUGCUGGAUGACGGCCUUCGGGUUGUAAACCGCUUUCGCCUGUGACGAAGCGUGAGUGACGGUAAUGGGUAAAGAAGCACCGGCUAACUACGUG
rnacentral:rRNA from 1 species